GCACUGCUGACGAGUCCCAAACAGAACGAACUAGCUGUCCAGUAC
rnacentral:hammerhead_ribozyme from 1 species